GGGAACUGCUGCUGGGAACAGAUGGUGUUCAAGGAGACAAACGGCAAUUUAUUGGAGUCCUAGAAAGGGGGCAACAUGCACUGGGCAGGGGCAUCACAGGAGUGAGGUGCUAUUUUGCUGACAACUCCCUAUUGACUACUUGAAUUCUGCACACAAAUUGAUAUUGCAUUUCUUACAAAUUGAAGGUUCAAGAUUUCAGAUGUGGUGGGAAUAGCAAGAGAACUAGAAUUAGAAGUGAAGCCUGAAGCUGUGACUGAAUUUCUGCAAUCUCAUGAUAAAACUAAGAGAUGAAGAGUUGCUUCUGAUGGAUGAGCAAUGAAAAUGGUUUUUUGAGAUGAAAUCUGCUAUGAAGAUUAUUGAAAUGACAACAAAGGAUUUAGAAUAUUCCAUAAACUUAGUUGAUAAAGCAGCAGUAGGAUUUGAGAGGAUGGACUCCAAUUUUGAAUGAGGUUCUACUGUGAGUAAAAUGACAUCAAACAACACUGCAUGCUACCAAGAAAUCAUUUGUGAAAGGAAGAGCCAAUGAAUGCGGCAAAUUUCACGCCUUAUUUUAAGAAACUGUCACAGCCACCCCAACCUUCAGCAGCUACCACCCUGAUCAGUCAACAGGCAUCAAUGUGGAGGCAAGACCUUCCACCAGCAAAAAGAUUACGACUCCCUGAAAGCUCGGAUGAUGGUUAGCAUUUUUUUUCCUACCAAGAAAGCAUUUUUAAAUUAAGGUAUGUAUUUUUUUUCUAAGACAUAUUGCUA